rnacentral:tRNA from 2 species
GGGAAGGACUCCUAUGCUGGUCAGGAGAUGAGCUGUAAAUUCAUUGGUUUCUACCGUCCAGAGUUCGAUUCUCUGCCUUCUCA